rnacentral:lncRNA from 1 species
UAUGGCAUUUCUGUAUGUUAUGUGGAUGUUUGUGAUGCUGUCUUUUCUGACCACAAACCAGUUAUUUUUGGGGUUUCUCUUCCAUGCCAGACUGAUAACAGGGUCCCCGCGGGUCCUUAAAAAGUCUUGAAAUGUCUUAAAUACAAUUUUCGAUUUUUAAGGUCUGAAAAUGUCUUGAAUCCUGGAAUUUUCCAUAUGAAUGUCUUACAUUUCAUGUCCGACUCGUCAUUUUUAUUUAUUUUUUCGACCGCACUUUGACCAGCGCAACAUUUGGGGGCAGCACUUCGUCGGUGCAACCUGCAUCAUUCCAUAGGUGACAUACGAGUAAGUGAUUACUGAACGCGUUGCGUUGAUGGUUCGCCACCACGGCAUUUUGCGAAAUCGCAAGCAUGGGCAAAGACGAUAAAGCUGUGGACAAGACCACGAUUGUCAGGUCUCCCUAUCUUGGUUCUCAGUUUUUGAGCCCCUCAACGGCAAAAGACUUGCUGGAGCACUUUAAGGAGGGCACCAAGGAACUUAAUUUAAGGAACAUGCUUUCUGUGUCAAUGGAUGGACCCACAGUAAAUUGGAAAGUCAUGGAUCUCCUACAACUGGAACAUGCAAUAAAUUUCUGAUCCUGAUCUUUCCUACAAUUGUCUGACAUUCAUUAGGUCUAUGCAUAGAUUAUUGAAUGUGCUUGCAUUUAUCUGUGUCUGAAAUGACAUAGAAAACACGAAUCAGACCCUGAACAACAUUUUCUUGGGGGAGAACCCCCAAACCCAACUCAAGACUAUUAGGCAGCAACAUUUACCCAUAAUUUAGAUCAAGUAUGAUGAAUACGUGGGCUUUUGUAAUGUCCUGGGGCUGUCUUCCAUGUCUUUUUCAAACUGCUAUGAGGGGCCAGAAUUUAGAAAUUACCUGAAGUACCUUAAAGGCUGAUAGUUUAUACAUAGUCAACCAUGUCAAGGUUGUAAGGUCAAUCAGCACUUGGUAUAAAAGUUUUCGCGCCCCUCUGACCUGUCUUGAGCGUGGCUGUGGUGAGUUGUGCCACACUAAUGCUUCAACACAUCAAUCUGUGUUGUCGGACUGAACAUUUUCCUGUUUUUUUUAGAUAAAGUCUUAAAUUUUCCUUUUAGAGGACUUAAAAAGGUCUUAAAAAGUUAUUAAAUUUGCUGUUAAAAAAUGUGUAGAUACCCUGGAUAAACCUCUUCCAAGUGUACGCCUAUGUCGUAGGAUAAAUACUAGCGUCAUUAACGAGUUUGCCACGAUGUUUGAAAAUAACUAUAAUGUGAAUGAUCCACUUUU